AGAGUUUGAUCCUGGCUCAGAUUGAACGCUGGCGGCAUGCCUUACACAUGCAAGUCGAACGGCAGCACGGGUGCUUGCACCUGGUGGCGAGUGGCGAACGGGUGAGUAAUAUAUCGGAACGUACCUUAUCGUGGGGGAUAACGCAGCGAAAGCUGCGCUAAUACCGCAUACGCCCUGAGGGGGAAAGCGGGGGACCGUAAGGCCUCGCGCGAUUAGAGCGGCCGAUAUCUGAUUAGCUUGUUGGUGGGGUAAAAGCCCACCAAGGCGACGAUCAGUAGCUGGUCUGAGAGGACGAUCAGCCACACUGGGACUGAGACACGGCCCAGACUCCUACGGGAGGCAGCAGUGGGGAAUUUUGGACAAUGGGGGCAACCCUGAUCCAGCAAUGCCGCGUGAGUGAAGAAGGCCUUCGGGUUGUAAAGCUCUUUUGUCAGGGAAGAAACAGCAGCUCUAACACAGUCUGCGAAUGACGGUACCUGAAGAAUAAGCACCGGCUAACUACGUGCCAGCAGCCGCGGUAAUACGUAGGGUGCAAGCGUUAAUCGGAAUUACUGGGCGUAAAGCGUGCGCAGGCGGUUAUACAAGACGGGCGUGAAAUCCCCGGG
rnacentral:rRNA from 1 species